GCCAUGCUAGUCGCACGAAUUUAGAUUCGUGGCAUAUAGCUCAGUAACACGUGGCCAAAUUACCCUACAGACCGCGAUAACCUCGGGAAACUGAGGCCAAUAGCGGAUAUCACUCUCACGCUGGAGUGCCGAGAGUGAGAAACGUUCCGGCGCUGUAGGAUGUGGCUGCGGCCGAUUAGGUAGAUGGUGGGGUAACGGCCCACCAUGCCGAUAAUCGGUACAGGUUGUGAGAGCAAGAGCCUGGAGACGGUAUCUGAGACAAGAUACCGGGCCCUACGGGGCGCAGCAGGCGCGAAACCUUUACACUGCACGACAGUGCGAUAGGGGGACUCCGAGUGUGAGGGCAUAUAGCCCUCGCUUUUCUGUACCGUAAGGUGGUACAGGAACAAGGACUGGGCAAGACCGGUGCCAGCCGCCGCGGUAAUACCGGCAGUCCAAGUGAUGGCCGAUAUUAUUGGGCCUAAAGCGUCCGUAGCUUGCUGUGUAAGUCCAUUGGGAAAUCGACCAGCUCAACUGGUCGGCGUCCGGUGGAAACUACACAGCUUGGGGCCGAAAGACUCAACGGGUACGUCCGGGGUAGGAGUGAAAUCCUGUAAUCCUGGACGGACCACCAAUGGGGAAACCACSUUGAGAGACCGGACCCGACAGUGAGGGACGAAAGCCAGGGUCUCGAACCGGAUUAGAUACCCGGGUAGUCCUGGCUGUAAACAAUGCUCGCUAGGUAUGCCACNCGCCANGAGCACGUGAUGUGCCGUAGUGAAGACGAUAAGCGAGCCGCCUGGGAAGUACGUCCGCAAGGAUAAACUUAAAGGAAUUGGCGGGAGCCCACACCGAG
rnacentral:rRNA from 1 species